UUUAUGCUAGUUUGACGUUCAUUAGAUAAGCAAGUUUGUUUCGUAUACGAGUUCCGUUUAUUCUAACUAUCAAAUUACUCUUAACGUUAUAGUUUACUUUUUCAUCUGUAUGCCUUGCGUACGUUCACAUCCUUUCAAAUUUUCCAUGAAUGUUUCUAUAGUCUUCCUGCAGCUAUUGGUAAUGCAAAUACCUUUAUUUAAUUUAAUGUCCACAAGAUGGUAUUUGUCUUCAAGUUUUAACUUUAGCUGAGAAUAGAAAUGUGAAAAAUGACAGGAUAUUUACAAGUGGCAUAUAAUAUUCAAUUUAACAUCUCCUAUGAAUAAAGUAAGACGAAAUUGAUUUAGCUUGGUGGUGAUGCGGGGAUGUGGAUCUGUUUUGAUCCUGUAGGAAGCCGAGAAGGCUGGCGUGCUUCUAUCUUAUUUUUUAUAUUUCUGUAUUGGACAUCUUUUGGUACCGAUGGCAGUUUAACAAAUGCAGCUGCGUUUAAUGUCCCCCAUAAUACUGUUACAUCGGAAGUAUCACUACCAGUUUCAACACACCGUGAAGAUGACGAAUGUAGGAAUGUGACCACUGAUAAUAGAGCUACUACUGGUCUAUCAGUGGUCAGUCAAGGAUCUGGUUCUCCUCAUUCGCCGAUAGUGCCUCCAACCUUUCUGUACGGAGUUCUUACCUGCCAACCGUAUCAAGGAAUUUCUGUGAACCACAUCUACUUUCAACUAGCAAAUGCCUUCUUUCUAUUGUCACAUCUUGCACCAAGUGGCAUACAUGGCGUACUUUAUUUAAGGUGCACUCUGCUCGUGGGCUGUGCCUUUCUUGCUUUGUGGGGCUGGACAAUAGCUUGUUGGCUGGAUGCUGCUCUCUGGAAUGCUCUAUUUGUUGCCAUCAACUUCGUCCAUGUAUGCACGCUUCUUUACAAGCUCAGGCCUAUCAAGUUUUCAAGGGAAGUUGAAGAGGUAUAUAUUGCAGUGUUCCAGCCAUUAAGAGUAUCACGUCAUCAGUUCAGAAAAGUGUUAAAUUGUAUGAAGGUUAUUCGACAGUUGAAAUAUCAAGAAGUUUAUGCCCAAGAAAAAGUAACCAAAGUUGAUUCUUUAUCUCUGGUACUUUCUGGGAAGUUAGUAGUUUCGCAAAAUGGAAGAGCAUUGCACAUUGUCUUCCCACAUCAGUUCCUGGAUUCUCCAGAAUGGUUUGGUGUUUCUACAGACGAAUACUUUCAGGUAUCAAUAACAGCUAUGGAAGAAUCGAGGAUAUUACUAUGGCAUAGAGACAAGUUAAAAUUAAGCAUAAUUAGUGAUCAAUUUCUGCAGGCAGUGUUUGAUCACAUUUUGGGAAGGGAUGUAGUAAAAAAAUUGAUGCAGGUUAGCGAAACGAUGGCCGCUAGCAGUCAUCAACAGCAAAAUGGACAAGUAAUUGGUUUAAGUGGUAUUGGAGCCUUAGAAAACGAUCCUGACACCAAACUCUUCGUUGUGAAAAAGACUGGUGAUAGUCAAGGUAUUACUGCUCUCAUCAGCCGUCAACUUCAAGAAGAGAGAAUGCCGCUGCUGUACACGACUCAGGAAGUGCUGAACAACACUUUGCAUCAUAUUAAUCACCUACGUACACCUCCUUUACAUCCUGUACAACACAGCAAUGUUCAGUCUUCCCUAUAAUAUUCCUGUGACACAAACUGUGCAGAUACUUAGCACAAAUUUGUACGUGAUAUAUGUUAUGUUUCUGCAAUGGAUAUCCAUACAGUUAUACAAAUAUCACUGGGUAACUUCAUUUAUUUUCUUCUGGUUAUUGUAUUCAGCAGCAGGAGAUCCAAAUGCAUGGAGAUUGGGAAGAAUUGAAGAGACUGAUCAUGAAACGCCUGUUUAAUGAAAUGAAUAUUAGAUGAAUGUCAUCCUCGACAGUCAAUAUAAAGCAACACCGGUCUUUUUACAUAACAUGAGAUAAUGAUGAAGCGUAUCCGUCAUUUUGGAAAAUAUGGCAUGGUGUGCGUGGAGCAAUUAAACAUUCUCUUGCCAAUUAAUAAUUUUUCCCACUAGUCAAGUAUGAUUAACAAUGGAAAGAAAGAUUUCAUUGUUUAUAGAAUAAUGGUUCCAUCCUAGUUUAUAUAAAGUGAUAUAUGACUAAACAUUACUUUAUGCUUCCAAUAUAUUAUUGAAUAACACAGAAACUGAUUUAAAUAUGGCUGUUUAUAAUUCACACUGAUUUUCUUCUUAACAUGCAUAUUUUAGUACCAAACAAGUAAGACUUUACAUGUUUAAUAGAAUGAAGGUUGUUCAAUCGCAACGGCGUAACUUCUUUAGUGAAAGAUCUGUGAUUUAUUGGAACUGGUCAAGAAAAAAAUUAGGGAGGCCUAAAUACCUGAUUGUUUCCCAUACCCAAAUAUAGUGCCUUUUUACUUGCAUUUCAUUUAUUCAUUUAAAAAAAUAUAUAAACAUUACUAUUGUAUACUAAUUUAUAUAUUCAUUCAAUAUUUUUUAAGCAAAUUGCUGGCAGAAAUCGAAAUGCUUUUUUUAUAACUAGUAGUUACAAUUUUUUACAUAUCUCUUACAGUGGGACUAUCUUGAAAUGGUCUCUAUCUAGAGAAUGAAUAGUAAGAGUAUAAUUUAUUAAGCACAUGUUAAAUUGAAUUAUUUGUAUCAUUUUCAUUAGAAAAUACCUACUUAAAUUAAAGGUAUAUGAAUUAAAUUUUAUAACUUUGAUUAUGAUUUAUUAAUCAUUAUCAAAUAUAACAAUAUUGAUACAGCCAACACUGUGUUACAAUAAAAUUAUUGGAGUAAGUUCUAUUAAUACAUUAUUAAAAUAACAAUUUCAAUAUAAUUUUGAACAUAAUUAAUUUCCAACAUAUAACUUUCAUUUUUUUUAUUUAACUGUUAACCAUUUAAUUUGUGCAUGAGGUAUCAAUAAAAUUACUAUGCAGUUGAUCAUGAUAUAUAGAUAAACUAAUUUAUUUUUAAUUCAUUUAUAGAUUGUUUUAUGAUAAAACAAAGAUUAAUUAGGGUAAUAUUCAUAAUUUAUGCCUGGUACUUAAAAAUUAUAUACAUAUGUAUACAUAUAUAUUUUUUUUUAUCCCUGUUUAGAAUAUUUUGUUUCACAUAAUUCUAUUCAUAUUCAUAAUUUUAAUAAGUUCCUUUCCUUUAUAAAACAGUUGGUUUGCAUUUAUUUUUGAAUAUAAUAGUGGUAGUAUUGUUGAAUAUUUUCUAUUACUUUUGCAAUUCAUUUAACUUUAUUACAAUUAUUGGAAUUUCGUUUUAAUGAAUAUUAUCGUUAUUUUUACAAUUUUUGCCAGCAAUUGAUCACUUCUGCCAUCAAAACUAUUAGUAAAUAGUUUUGAAGGAUUAUUGCGCGAAUCAUAUCAUAAUACCAUCAGAUAAUGGCGUUCAGAUUAGAGAAGCAGGAAGUUACGCCAGAAAGCUCUGGAUGAUAAUACAAUUGCAAUGUGAGCUACAUUAAUAAAAUCAUAUUUAUAUUGAUAUACAUUGUCGAUAGAGAAAUAAAUACAUAUAACUUUUAAUGUUUAAUAUCGUAAAAUUAUCGAAAAAUCGUUACAAUAAUAUUAUAAUCAUGAUUACCGUUCCUUUGUUUAAAAGAACAAAAUCAACAUUAGUCAUAAUUUAUAAAUGGUAAUUUUGAUUAGGAACGGUCAUUAGAAUGAAACAAAUAAAAAAAGAUCAAUACGCACAGAGAAACGAAGAGAACAUUAACGUAAUUAAUUAAAAUCAUUUUGGAUAAUAAUAGUGAAAGUGUUAUGUACCGAAAUUUAAAGUAAAAAUCUCAGGUUUUGACGAUUGGAUACAGUUUUAGGAAAAAAAUCAAACAAGUAACAAAGGAAAUCUUUAAGGACAAUUUUGUCGGAUUUAGUAACAUGCAUUAUAAAAUUUAAAAUGUUGCUAAUUGAAUUCAUGCCCUAUUAAGGUUGUAAUAUAUACUUGAGGAUUUUUUAUAUGUAAAAUUAUAGUUCUGAGCAUAUUCUAUUUCAAAGAUUAUAACUAGUUUAAAAGUUGGAUAAUAAUUGUUCUAUCAUAUGUAUAAAAUACAUCUUCAAAAAUGAUUUUAUUAGGUAACAAAAUAUCAAUUUGUUUAUUCAUCUGGAAAAUCGAAUUGUUUUGAACGAAACGUUAAACUGAAAGAACAAUGAGAAUCAUAAGAUUUUAUUUACUCUAACGCUAUUCAUGUUUAUAUGAGAAGUGUAAAUGGUUUGUUUUAAUGAAUGUAAAUUAUUCGUUACUCAUUUUUGUUGUUUAUUAUUUCGAACUGUUAUGAUCAUGUGUAGAUUUUCUUAGUACAUAGUUAGGUAUUAUAAAGAAUUAUGAAUGAAAUGAAAAAUUUAAAUCACAUUGAAUACAAUAAUGAAAAAUCUAAUGAUGAAAGGAAUAAAGAAAGUUAGUUUUAGAAAAAAACAUGA